CCUACGGGAGGCAGCAGUGAGGAAUAUUGGUCAAUGGACGAGAGUCUGAACCAGCCAAGUAGCGUGAAGGAUGACUGCCCUAUGGGUUGUAAACUUCUUUUAUAUGGGAAUAAAAUGUUCCACGUGUGGGAUUUUGUAUGUACCAUAUGAAUAAGGAUCGGCUAACUCCGUGCCAGCAGCCGCGGUAAUACGGAGGAUCCGAGCGUUAUCCGGAUUUAUUGGGUGUAAAGGGAGCGUAGGUGGAUUGUUAAGUCAGUUGUGAAAGUUUGCGGCUCAACCGGAAAAUUGCAGUUGAAACUGGCAGUCGUGAGUACAGUAGAGGUGGGCGGAAUUCGUGGUGUAGCGGUGAAAUGCUUAGAGAUCACGAAGAACUCCGAUUGCGAAGGCAGCUCACUGGACUGCAACUGACACUGAGGCUCGAAAGUGUGGGUAUCAAACAGGAUUAGAUACCCGGGUAGUC
rnacentral:rRNA from 1 species